rnacentral:rRNA from 1 species
AACGAACGUUGGCGGCGUGGAUUAGGCAUGCAAGUCGAACGAAUCCCUGGGGGCAACUCCAGGGGGAAGUGGCGAAAGGGGCAGUAAGGCGUGGGUAACUUGCCCCGGGGUCUGGGAUAGCCUUCCUAACGGAAGGGUAAUACUGGACGUCCUGGCCGGGAGGCAUCUCCUGACCAGGAAAGCUCAGGCGCCCCGGGAGAGGCUCACGUGGUAUUAGCUUGUUGGUGAGGUAACGGCUCACCAAGGCCAAGAUGCCUAGCAGGUGUGAGAGCACGACCUGCGCCACUGGCACUGAGACACUGGCCAGACUCCUACGGGAGGCUGCAGUCGAGGAUCUUCGGCAAUGGGCGCAAGCCUGACCGAGCGACGCCGCGUGUGUGAUGAAGGCCUUCGGGUUGUAAAGCACUGUCGGGAGGGAGAAAAGGGUAACCUUGAUCGACCUCCGGAGGAAGCACGGGCUAAGUUCGUGCCAGCAGCCGCAGUAACAC